UACGAAGGGGGCUAGCGUUGCUCGGAAUUACUGGGCGUAAAGGGCGCGUAGGCGGGCAGCUUAGUCAGGGGUGAAAGCCCAGGGCUCAACCUUGGAAUUGCCUUUGAUACUGGCUAUCUUGAGUUCGGGAGAGGUGAGUGGAAUGCCGAGUGUAGAGGUGAAAUUCGUAGAUAUUCGGCGGAACACCAGUGGCGAAGGCGACUCACUGGCCCGAUACUGACGCUGAGGCGCGAAAGCGUGGGGAGCAAACAGG
rnacentral:rRNA from 1 species